ACUCCUACGGGAGGCAGCAGUGGGGAAUAUUGCACAAUGGGCGCAAGCCUGAUGCAGCCAUGCCGCGUGUAUGAAGAAGGCCUUCGGGUUGUAAAGUACUUUCAGCAGUGNGGAAGGGUGGGUAUGUUAAUAGCAUAUUCAUUUGACGUUAGCUGCAGAAGAAGCACCGGCUAAACUCCGUGCCAGCAGCCGCGGGUAAUACGGAGGGUGCGAGCGUUAAUCGGAAUUACUGGGCGUAAAGCGCAUGCAGGUGGUUUGUUAAGUCAGAUGUGAAAGCCC
rnacentral:rRNA from 1 species